rnacentral:rRNA from 1 species
UACGUAGGGGGCGAGCGUUAUCCGGAUUUACUGGGCGUAAAGCGCGUGUAGGCGGUUGCGUAAGUUAGUUGUGAAAUCCCUCGGCUCAACCGAGGAACUGCAGCUAAUACUGCGCGGCUGGAGUGGCAGAGAGGAAAGUGGAAUAUCCGGUGUAGUAGUGAAAUGCGUAGAUAUCGGAUGGAACACCAGUGGCGAAGGCGACUUUCUGGCUGCUAACUGACGCUGAGACGCGAAAGCGUGGGGAGCAAACAGG